GCCGAGCAAAUGGUUUCACUUUGCCUUCACGUUCUUUAUAUAUAUAAAGACUUCCCUUGGUCUGGUAUCAUCAGCACCUUCUACUUCUUUUAGUUUGGUGUUCUACAAUUCAGGAAUUGAUUCUACUCAGUUAAACUUCUUCAAAAUCUUGCUUUAUCCUAAAUUCUUCAGAACGUAAAAGAGCCAAGCAGGAGACCAGUGGGUGCCAACUUCAGGAUGUUUUCUGGAAACAGGUCCUGCCCAUGGCUCACAUGGAGCCCAGAAGACAUAUGGAAGACAUUCAAAGAAAAAUUAAGUAAAAACUACCGCAUAAUUAAGCAAGUCUAAAGAUUCUAGAAGCAUCUCUCACUGGAACCCAGAGCAGUCCUCCUCCUUCUGGGCUUUCCUAGUCCAGGAUCUCCCUUCCUUACAAAUGAGGAAAUAACCUACCCACUACCUGCACCUUGAAUCUUAUAAUAUGAUUCACUUUGAUAAAUCACUUGACCAAAUAAAUAGGAAUUUAAUAUGUAUUUUAACCAACAGGUCUUCCCAAGGCAUUUAUUUUUUUCCCAAGACAUUUAUAAAUUGGUGGUGUGGAGCCUAUAAAUUAGCCUUAGUGUACACAUAAACAUGUAUAUAUGAGAUUUUGUGGGUUGGAAGAAUAAAUAUCUAGAAAUGUGA